AUAAACGAUUUUUCUUGUUGCAGGGGAUUGCAGUGGCAAAGCUAGGCUAGGUCUUGGAGGCUGGUGUAAGGCGAUGUGGGUGAAGGCAGGAGGCUGAUGGAAAGACUGGGGGGAAGAAAAGCCGAAAUGGAUUCACGGUGCCUUGGAUGAAGGACGAGAGGGGAACUGCAAGCUCCUUCAACUGGUUCUGUCCGGUGAGAAGUGAUCAAGCUUGGGCUGACAAGAGGCUCAGGGAGCCCUCACGUUCUUUCGCUUUUUUACCUGCCAAUCAAACUGCUACAAGACAACACCCUGAUCUGGCAUGGACAUCGCGGGUCCAAGCCUGUAGCCCCAAAUCGGAUAAUCUCUGCAGCUGAUAACAAGCAAAAGAGAAGCCAGGCAACAGCCAUAUUAAAGAAGAAAACAAUCAACUCUGAGGCCUCCCUACAGCGUUGGCUCAGCUCUAGCUACUUGGAAGGUCGUGGCAAUGCUGUCUCAGAAUGUCCGUUUCUAGAGUACAGAGAAGAAAUUCUAGCUUGACGUCCACGUGCAUUUGUCUGUGUUUCAGAGGAAAUUCCAAUUCUAAACUCUUGGAAGAAACAAUUUCUCGGCAUGCUGAAGAGAAUUGCUGUUUUUUGGCACCUGAAACACUUUUACCCAAGGGUUCUGAUUAUUUAAAUAAUUGGUAUGCUAUAAAUAUUCUGGUUGACAGAAAUGUGGUUUAAUGUAGAUGAGUUGUAAAAACAUGAGACAAACAUGCUCCAGGCUAAAAAUAUCUGGAUUAAAAAAGAAAAAGAAAAGAA
rnacentral:lncRNA from 1 species